rnacentral:rRNA from 1 species
AUGGGGUUCAUAAUUCAGAUGCUUUGCUUCGGUUUAUUUAUAUCUAUUACUCCCUCCGUUCGGAAUUACUUGUCACACAAAAUGGAUGUAUCUACAACUAAAAUACAUCUAGAUACAUUCAUUUCUUGGACGAGUAAUUCCGGGAAUAUAUAUCUAUCUCUGGCUGGCUUCCGUGCGUUGAUGCUGCCUGCACGUGUCUGGCGUGUUGAGAAGAGGGAGAGAUAUGGUGUGGACACGGUCGGUGACGCCCUGAUCCGUUUUAAUAUUCGGUCACACAUGGUGUGCUACACGCCUUGCUGA